UGGGGAAUUUUGGACAAUGGGCGAAAGCCUGAUCCAGCCAUGCCGCGUGAGUGAAGAAGGCCUUCGGGUCGUAAAGCUCUUUUAGUCGGAAAGAAAGAGUUGCAAUGAAUAAUUGUGAUUUAUGACGGUACCGACAGAAAAAGCACCGGCUAACUACGUGCCAGCAGCCGCGGUAAUACGUAGGGUGCGAGCGUUAAUCGGAAUUACUGGGCGUAAAGGGUGCGCAGGCGGUCUUGCAAGUCAGAUGUGAAAGCCCCGGGCUUAACCUGGGAAUUGCGUUUGAAACUACAAGACUAGAGUGCAGCAGAGGGGAGUGGAAUUCCAUGUGUAGCAGUGAAAUGCGUAGAGAUGUGGAAGAACACCGAUGGCGAAGGCAGCUCACUAGGCCUGGAUUGACGCUCAGGGACGAAAGCGUGGGGAUCAAACA
rnacentral:rRNA from 1 species